rnacentral:lncRNA from 1 species
ACUUUCAGAAAUCGUUCAUUGUUCUCAAAUUUUUUACUAAUAUGAAGUCCCUGCAAUAAAUUACAGAUAUGAAUUGGACUUUUAAUAUCCAAUAUCCAGAUAGUAGCAUCACAGAUAGAAAAAUUAUAAAGCAUUAUCAUAUAAAUAUAUUGUCCAACAAUCCUUUGCUGAUUUCUCUUUCUAGGCCUGUUCAGGUCAUAGAAAACUAGACAUAGAGAAUAAUUCCUCUUUCAGUCUCC